rnacentral:rRNA from 1 species
CCACCCGAUCCCAUCCCGAACUCGGAAGUGAAACGGUUGCGCGCCGAUGAUAGUGUGGUCUCCCAUGCGAAAGUAGGUCACCGCCAGGC